rfam:Vigna angularis cultivar Jingnong 6 C3490263_1, whole genome shotgun sequence.
GCCGAGCUGGGUAACGUCAGCUUAUGACCUGAGUGGGGGCAACAAGAUGAUUGAACAAGGCUAUGGCCUGCUAAGCUGGACCGGAGGUUGCAACUUGCUGGCUUGCCCACUCCAAGUUGAGAGUUGAGUCAUGAGUCCUUUGCGAAGGCAUGGGUUUCCUGGUCUCCUAGACAGGAGGGCACCGCGUCAGGCUGGUUUCACAGAGCAGCGACAACCUCCGGUUCUUGACAGUGGAGGGAUAACAGGCUGCUGCACCUCCUGUCCCACCAAAUGAGCUUGGUGAGCCCUUGCCCUUGAACAAUCAUUUUU